rnacentral:rRNA from 1 species
CUGGCCUUGACAUGCCACUAACGAAGCAGAGAUGCAUUAGGUGCCCGAAAGGGAAAGUGGACACAGGUGCUGCAUGGCUGUCGUCAGCUCGUGUCGUGAGAUGUUGGGUUAAGUCCCGCAACGAGCGCAACCCUUGCCAUUAAUUGCCAUCAUUUAGUUGGGCACUUUAAUGGGACUGCCGGUGACAAACCGGAGGAAGGUGGGGAUGACGUCAAGUCCUCAUGGCCCUUAUGGCCAGGGCUUCACACGUAAUACAAUGGUCGGUACAGAGAGUUGCCAACCCGCGAGGGGGAGCUAAUCUCAGAAAGCCGAUCGUAGUCCGGAUUGUUCUCUGCAACUCGAGAGCAUGAAGUCGGAAUCGCUAGUAAUCGCGGAUCAGCAUGUCGCGGUGAAUA